AGGAUUGAGUUUCAAAGCAGCUCUUCAAGUGGUGAAAGUUUAGUCAUAUCAUUUACUCCGCAAGAAAUCCACACAUGACAACCAUAUCCUAGUAACCCCAAAAUUUAGAAGGCUACAGAGGUGCAUUAUCAAAGUAGGAAGAGCAAAAUGAAGGAAGAAACAACAUGGAGGUUCUUAUGAUUUUAGCCGGGGAAAAAGGGGAACAUGGUUAGAAAAGUACCCGACUGAGCAGGGGCUUCAUUCGCUCCCUGUAGCCAUCAAGAACUCGCCCUCACAUACCACCUCACCUCCUACAUAUGCCUUCCCUUCCAUUUUUGCAAUUCCAAAACGUUUUUGAUGCUUAACCAGAGUCAUUCGCAUAACCAAAGUGUCUCCUGCAAUGACUGGUUUCCGGAACCUCACUUUGUCGAUUCCUGCAAAGAAGAAAUUCUCACGAGAGCCUCCAACUUCAGGUUGAAGCAUAACCAAGCCCCCAACCUGAGCCAUUGCCUGGACCCACCAACCACUUUCAUCAGCAAUUACUAGAGGCACAUGUAAUGUAUCCAAAUGCGAACUUGAUAGAAACAGGGUUGUAAAAAGAAUUUAACAAUAACAAUUUUAGCAAUGCUGCAAUGGGAAAAAAAAUUCAGAAAUAAAGGCACCCCUUUGAAGCUAGAAGUAUUUAUUGGGACACGAUGAAAGAAACUAGUCUAAAGAUGGUUUUUCCAUUUGGAAUGAGGACAAAUGACUGCACAUAUUGGCAGGAGAAUUUUAAUUCAAAUUGAAGACAUGUAGGAACAAUGUUACAUUAUAAAAACUGCCUCUAGAUUUCUAUUUGUGAAGUAGGCAGAUAUUAAACGGUGAUGUAUUUUGGAGAACAAACACUGCAAGGGGUAUAAAAAUCAGUGAUUUGGUUAUCCCUAGGGAGAUCUGAGGCAUUGUAUACCAACAAACAAAAUAAAAACAAAAAGGUCCCACAACCAAAUGGUUAUGAAAUAUAAGGGAGAAGUUGAGACCAAAGUUUGAUAGCUGGUUCUGCCCACUAAAAUGAAAAUCCUCAUUUUAUUAGGGAUUUUAUAAAAUUAGCACUUUGCUAUUGAUUACACUUUUCUUUCCCAUUAAUGUGUCCUCAGACUUCUGUGCAGGAGGUUGCAAUUCAGUCUCUUUACCAAAGUCUGACAGUCAACUCCUGUGCACAGAAGCCCAAACUAGUACAAUAAAGCAGUAAACUGUGGAGCCUCUGCAGGCCUUGAUUCACCUGGAUGAUGCACCCUUCAUCCCCAGGUCAGGUAAGGCCUGCGCAAGCUCCACAGUCAUAGAUCAUGGGUCUCUCCUCUAUUCCCUACUGAAAAUAGCAGCCCAAAGAGCUCUAUUCAUAGUCAUUUUUUUUAAUGAUUGAGGAACCUUCCAUGAUCAAGCCCUUAGGAUGAUCCAGGGAGACCCAAACCUAGGGUUGCAGAUCACGCCCACAACACCCAGCACUGGGUAAAUCAAGGUAUUUAACAGGCAGUAGGAUUCGAAACUAGGACCAUGCACCUCUCUACUACACAUCCAAGCAUUCAUAGUUGUAUUGUAUUGAACAAGCUAAAACUAUUGUUCAUUCUCAUCUAUUGAACUAGUCAAAGCUAAAAGAGGAGCAUAUCUUAGAUGUGUUGAUUAUUUUAUGGUGAGAAUCAUACUUAUAGCAACUUGGCCGAAUUGGGAGAAUCUAUAGGUAUUAUUCUUGGUCAAUCUACUAGAGAAUCAAAUAGUCAACUAACAUUAAGAACUUUUCAUACGGAUAGAAUAUCCAUGUGAUAUCCCACAUGGAUAGAGGAAGCAAUUCUUAGCAUCACAUAUGUAUGAAUUUUUCUUAAUCAUAUAAAUAUGUUUUAAAGCCGUGAGAUCCCAUUGGGCCUAAAGCGGAUAAUAUCUACAUAAGAAAGAACAAGUUGUUACAAAUGGUAUUAAAGUCAAUUUACAACCCCGAUGUAGGCCUUUGUUCGUUUGGUCUUUAAAGGGAUGUCUAUCAAUUUGGCCCACAAUCCUGUGGGACAUGAUAAGGAUGAUGUGUGACAAUUCUACCAAAACAUUAACUUCUAUUACAGAUGAUCAAUAAGUAGAAUCAGAAUAAGUGAUUGCUGGGAUUGAAUGUACACUUUUCACUUUGAAGAGAGUGCCCAAAAACAUAUUUAUUCCAAUGCAAAGGGGAAGAGCAACAACUAUAGGUCAACAAAAAGAAGAGGCAGGUUAUCUUCAUCAACUCACAGAAAUUUGUGGUAAAACCAAUUGUGAGAUAAUGAUAUGGAUGUCCCAAAAUAAAGGAGUUGCAAAGCAAUAUAUUGGAGUGAUUAUGAACUUGGGGGAAUAAAUUAUCUUGUUGCACUGAUUAUGAACGAAAUAUGUGGCUAUAUAUAUUAUGAAGUAUGCUAUGCUAUUGAGUGUUGGUUGCAAAUAACCCUUUAAUGGCAAAAUUAGCAAUGGAUACCAAAUUGGAAUCACUUGCAGUUGCUUUGGAACACCCAGCUUCAAAGUAAUUUGGAGAAUUAUAUUGUAUGAAGCAGAAUGUUGAGAACAGGGAAAAAAAUUGCAAAUUGAAAUGGCUAUAUCAAAAAGUUGAGUGACAAAAUAAGUGACCACAACAUUAUAACUAGGUGAAUAUGGCAAAAAAAAAAGUGAUCUGAUAGGGAAUAACAUAUAGAGUGCUGGACUCUAAUAAUCUGGUACAGAGCACUGAAAACCUAUGAUAAUCUGAGUGUAAGAGGACAAGGAUGAAAGAAGUAUGGAGAUUUGAAGUCAGCAAUAAAAAAGCCUGAAGCUCCUGAUGAGAUGCAAGUCAUAUGGCAAUAACAUGAAAAUAAAAUCCCUAAAACAAAAUAAGGAAAUCAUCACUAAGUCCCAUGUAUUAAAAGCUGAAUAAGUAGUGCCACAAAAGGGUACCAGGAAUUAUGAUAUGCCAAUCAGAGUAUAAGUGUGAUGUCAACCAUGCAUUGGACAUAAAUGAACUGUUAUAUUUGGCAUGGAGUCAUAGACAAGGAAGUAAGACAUUUCAUUUAGCACCACAUGUAGAAUGCUAUUGUUAGUUGCGCUUCAUUCCCGUUGCCUAACAAAAAGUAAUAAGAAGCAAAAGAAAAGAAGUGCAAUGUUUAAUAGCAUUGUAUAACUAAUGCUAAAUCAAAUGUCUUACUUCCUUAUUCAUAACAAAUAAAAAAGUUCGUUUAUAUCUAAUGUAUGGUUGAUGUGCCAAGAAUCAAGUAAAAGCUUAAAAAUACCACCUCUGAUGUCCUCCCUCCCACCACUCCUCCCCCAAUUAAGUAUUAAUUAACAACCAAUGAACUUCAAUGCCAAAAUUGUACAAGUCAAUGAAGGAGAAGAUAAAUUCUUUGAGCCUUCCUUUGCACCCAUUAGUUUAUCUUAACAUUUUAAGAACAGAAAAGCUUUGAAUCCCAGCUAUUAGGCUAUGUCCAUCUUUGUCAACCUUUUAGCUCUAUCUAGAUCAAUGUCUUGCCUUAACAAGUUAAGCAAAUGAAAAAGAUUAUAGUGAAUGUACAAAUAUUUCUUGUAUCUUUUUGUCCUUGAAGAAAGGGGAAAAGGACAAGCUUGAUUAGGAUUCAGGUGUGCAACAUGCUGAGAAUCUGCAGCCAAAUGGGAUCAAUUCAUUUGGGACUCAGUUAAAGAUCAUAAGAUCAUCAUCCACAUUCAAAAGGAAGAGAUAAAUUCUUUGCCAAUUUCUUUGCAACUGUUAUAAAAAAGCCCACCUAGUGUAUCUAAAAUCAACAAUAUAACCUUAAAUUCCAAUUAUUUGGGCUCAGUUACUUUGGAACAACAGGAUUUGUUUUUUCCAAGAUAUGGGAAAAGGGUUCAGCUUGAUUAUGAAGAGGGAAUGAAACUUCCAGAGCAUCUGUAGCCAAAAAGUGCUUGAUUCAUUUGUAGGCUCAAUUAAGAUAAUGGACUAGUAGUCUGCUCAGUUCAAGAUUAGCUGGAUAAUCUGCACAUUCUUUUCGUUCUCCGAGGAUGAGUAAUGCUAUUUUGGGUAAUUGUGCUUGUAAUCAGCCAUGGGAGCUCAAAGCUCCAAGUGGGAGGACAGUGGAUGGAGAUAGCCCCCUCUGAGUCAGACUCAACACUUCUACGGGAGAUGUUAAGAUCUCAACAAAUUUGAAGACUACUCCUCAUGGCCCACAGUUAGCACACACAAUAAUAAAACUGCAUACAAACCGUGCAUGACCUCUUAUUCAUGUCAAUCUAAUGGUCAGAUAACUCCCAAGGAUCUCAGCUGAUGAAGGAAAGACUUCGAUUUUCCAGAAGGAAGCAAAGAACAAUGUAUACCUAAUUCCUAGUUUCAUCUGGAUUGUCCAACAAGGAGCCCGUCCUAAUAGAGAAUAGUAACUCAGUUAAUGGGUUGAUUCCUGACUGUCUGGGUUUCUUGUCAAUUCAAGAAUGCUAAAUACUAUUCAUGUUCUCUGGUAUAAGAAAUUCUACAUUAAAGCUCCAUCAUGAAUCAUAAACCAAUAACCAUAACACUAGUUUGAGAUAAGUUGGUAAGUGACUGCAUCAUAUGUUUUCCAAAAACUGUGUACCCCACUUUUAGUGCUGAAGCCAAUCCCUCCAAAGAUCUUCAUAACACUUAGAACAUGUCAUACAAAUAUAACUCAUGCAGCUAUUGUUAAUCAUCAUUCUGAUGUUCCCAUAAAAUAUACCCAAUUAUAAAAUAAAAAGAACAGACAAUGAGCUAAUUGACUGAUUGUAAAAUUCACCCAACAAAAGGCUAUGUCUGCUUAAUGACAGUCAACAAACUUCACUAAUAAUGAAAAUUUACAAAAAUAUGAAAUUCUCCUAAACCUGCAAAAUGAAACUUAUAGUCAAAACACCAACCAGUUACUCCAAAGUGGCCAGGAGUCCAAAAACAAGGAAAUUAUUAAAAGACCUUGGGAUAUAAUGAAUUCAAAGCCAAAGUUGAACAGGACAAGAAUAAUGAUUUCUAUUCUCAUGUGGCAACCUAAGAAGAAGCUUUCACGUAAAAGCUUCAACAAUUGGGAACAUUAGACUUAAAAGGGAAAAAAAAGAAGAGAAAAGAAAGAUUGAGACAAAUCCCAAUGGGAAGAAUCCUGUGACUAACAUAUAUAAUUAAGGGGACCCAAGUCCUUAGAGCCCAAUCAUUGCUUAUUCAAUGUGCACAAAUAUGUUGAGUUCUUUAUUUUUCAAACAUUUUCUGUUAUUUUCUAGUAAAUUGAAUUCAAAUGAAGAACAUGAAGUUUGGCAAUAAGCAAAUUACCUCAACCAUGAGCACACCAGGCAUAAUUGGCCUCUCAGGGAAGUGCCCAGGAAAGAAGUUAUCGUUUAUAGUCACAUUCUUAAUUGCUACUGCUGAGAUCCCUGGGUUGUAUUCAAUCACUCUAUCCACUAAAAGAAACGGAAACCUGAGAUACAACCAAAAACAAAAUUGCCAAUUCGACUGCAAAGUAAUGAGAGAAAAAGAAAAGAAAAGAAAAGAAAAAAGGAAGACUGCAACUUCAAGCUGAGUUUGAUUGUCGUGAAAAUGUAAGGUUUAAGCUGAAUUUGAUUGUCGAGAAAAUGUAAGAAAAAAUAAAAUAGGACAUUAGACUGAAAAUUUCCAUCUUAGCCUAGAAUCAACUAUUCGGCUUAGUUAAGCUGGGUUUAGCAUUUUCAUAAACCAAUAUAAAACACAAAAAUUCAAGAUUUUAUUUUUCUUUCCUUCUGCUUUCCUCCCUUUUCACGUCAACCAAACAGAGAACAGCAAAAAAUAACCAAAGGGAAACUCAAAUGCAUGAAACCACGAAUACAGAAACUCACCUGUGCGGUAAAAUUUCCCGUAUUUGAUUAAUAUCCAUCACCGUAGGGAAUGCUGAAUAUGCUACAGAACAAACAUAACAAAAAACAGAAAAAAUUUGAACACAAAACCUAACAGAAUAGAAAAACAAAAGAAUCAAUGCAGAAAUGCCGGAAGAAGAGCAUACUCUUUUCGACGGGAACGUCUCCUUUACCAGCGUCGAGAGAAGCGCAAGCGAUGAAGGUGGAUCGAGGAUUGGAUUGAAGAGAAAGAAAGCGAGGGGCAGAGAGAGAAACGGUGAAUGUAGAGGGUCGACGAGGAGAUAGAGGGGAAGGAGAAGUGAGAGGAGAGAAGAGAGUGUUGGAGAUGGUAGCCAUUUUCCGAGAGGGAAAGAGGGAGAGAGUAGAGAGGACGGUCGGAGUGAACGACGCGAAAGGGAUAGUUUGUGUGUUGAACACAGCGGAGAUUUCAAAGACUGCCCAUUUUUCAUUUCAUCCUUUCCAGUUUCCACUACAUUCCCCAAACAAGAUCUACAGCUACCAGCCCUUCUGAAAUUUGAAAAGGGAAAAUUGUGUUUUUAACCCGGCCCUCCUAUUCCUCUUAAUUAAACUCAAAAGCCAAUCUAAAAGGAAGGAUAUUAUCUUAAGAAAAUUCGUAAAAUACCCUUAGAUAUUAAAUGAAAAAGGUUAAUCGGUCAACCCACCUUUCUCAUUCUCCUUUUUGCUCUUUCACCCUUUUCUUGCCCCUGUUUAUUAGUGGACCAUGUUGAAUAAUUUCCUAAUGAUUUUUCUCCAUCAAAUUGAAUAUAAAAAAUAAAUAAUUAAAAAUUAUAAUUACUAAAUAUAUUUUUUAAGUAAAUAACUUUUAAAUGCCUAAUCAAAUAUUACUAUUUUUUUCAAACUUACAUAAUAUAUAAUAAAUAUUUUUUAAAUACCUUUGAAACUUAUAUAAUAUAUAAUAAAUAUUAUUUUUUAUUUCAAAUUUAAAUUAUUUUUCGUACAUAUUAAACAAUUUUUAAACAUCUCAUAAAAUAUUAGGGCCUGUUUGUUUAGUGUUUUCAAGAACUGUUUUCUGUUCUUGAAAACAAAAAACACCAAAAACUCGUUUGGUUGAGAGGGUUGUUUUUGUUUUUGUUGUUUUCCGUGUUCUCAAAAUGACACUAUUUAGAGAACAACAAAAUGUUGUUUUCCCCGUUUUUUUACUGUUUACAGAACAAAAUUAAACAAAAAAAAACCAUCUGUUCUCCGUGUUUUUUUUUUCUUCCCGUUCUCAUCUCUUCUCCAGCACAGUCUCAGUCUUGAUUCAAGGUUCGUGAAAUUUAAAUCCAAUGGCACAAUAGCAAAGAGACCCCUAAAACGGAUCCAGAAAACACAGGGAGCAAAAGAAAAUCCAUUUUUUUGGUUUUCCUUGGGGUUUUUGCUUAGAUUUUCUCGGAAAUCAAACGAGGAUGAAUUUUCCCGGAAAUCGAAUGGGGGAUGGAUUUUCUUGGGAAUCAAACGGGGGUUGCAAAAAUAAUAAUAAUAAUAAUAACAUGAUUAGAUUAGUACCUGCAAGGAUUGAGAGUGGCAGAGGAAAAUAGGGCCUUUUAGGGAUUCUCUCGGCUGGAGGGCAACUUCAUAAAAGGGCUUCUUGAUGCCCGAGAGAGAGAGAGAAGUGGGUGGCAUUUUUAAUUUUUGGUUUUAGUAGAGAUAAAAAAAAAUUUUAAUUGUUCUCAAUUUAAUAGAAUAUGUUAUAAUUUUUAAUACAGUUAAAGAUUAAAUAAAAAAAUAUUAAUAAAAAUAAUUUUAUUAUGUUUGAUUUAUUUUAAAAAAAUAUAAAAAAUAUUUUUAUUUUUAAAUUAAUAAAAUAAAUAAUUUUUUUAAUUUAAAUGAACUAUAUAUCUAAAAAUUAUUUAUAAAUUUAUAAUAUAAAAUUACUUGAAGAAAAUAUUUUAUUAAUUAGAAAAGAAAAAAAAACAUCUUUCAAACGUGUUUUUUGUUUUAUUUGUUCUAAAAAUUUUUUUUUAUUAACUCAACCAAACAUGUUUUUUUGUUUUUGAGAACAAAAACUGUUUUUUAAAAUUCAGUUCCCAAACAUAAUUUUUUUUUAAAAAACACCAAAAACUGUUCUUAAAAACUGUUCUCAAAAAUUGUUUUUUAGAACAGUUUUCAAAAACAGCAACCAAACAGGCCCUUAGUUUUUUUUUGUUUGUUCUAACUUACAAAUUAGACAUCCUGAAAUAUAUUUUUUUCAAAUUUAUAGAAUAUAUAAUAAAUACUUUUUAAAUACCUCAACAAAUAUUUUUUUUGUUUCUUACUUACAAAAUAAUAAAUAUGUUUUACAUUAUUUCUUAUAUAUAUAUUAAAUAAUUUUUAAAUACCUUAUAAAAUAUUAUUAUUAUUAUUUUUCUAACUUGCAAAUUAAACAUAGGGUUUAUUAUUUCUCAUAUUAUUUCAAAAAUAAUGUAAACACUCACAUGCUAUAUAUAUAAUAUUAAUAAAGAAAACACUAUUUCUAAGACUAAAUUACCAAGCUUCCAAUAAUUUUGAAAGUGUAAAUAGAGUAAUUGAAAAAAUUAAAGUAUUCAAUAUAUUCAAAAUUUCUCCUAUCCAAAAUUACUUAAUUGCUCCCCACACUAAUCCUAAAUAUUUUUAAAUAAAGAUUUAAAUAUUUAAAACUAUUAAAAUAAAUAUUUUCUUAUCAAAGCAAUUUUUUAAAAGUAAUAAGAUAAAAAUCACAAAAUCUUCAAAACUAUAAUUAUAACAAAUAUUUUUAAUUUUAAAACUAAUUUCAUAAUUUAAAUUAAUGAUUUAGGCAUGAGUCAUUUUUUCUCUAUUUGUUUUUGCAGAUCACAUUUUUAGCCAGGUGUCACUAUCCCAGCGGGCCACGUGUCACAUCCUUAGUGGCCAUAAAGAAUCAACCUCGCUUUUUGAAGCUAUAGUAGGACUUUGACACGUGGAGGAACUUCCUGGAAGGGGGUCCCGCAGGCUGUCAGGGGGCGCGGAUGAGAGCGCAGAAAAGGUGGCUGUUGCAGAGAUCGUUGAAGGGGACAACAUUGCAGAGGGAGUGGUUGGACAAGCCAUGCUGGCUGACCAGUGAACAUGGGAGUUUUUCUAGGAGUUUUGAGAGAAAGAUUGGGGGGCGAACUGGAGGGAGGAAGCUAAGAACGGAGGAGCGUGGAGUUGCUGGGGAGUCUAGGACACAGAGCUGAAAAGAGAGAUUUCCAGGUAUGACCAUUUGUUUUUUUAGAUAUUUUCCGUUUUUUCCAGACUGUCCAGGUCUGAUUCUCAGUGAUUUUUCAUUUCCGCUUGUUGGGUUGUUUUGUUUUGGUGGUUACUGAUUAAAUAUUGGAAGAGUUUGCUGUAUUUUAUGCCCUAUUCUGACAAGUAUUUUUCCAUCUUAACUCACUGGAUGUUGGACCUAUGGAUGAAAUGAUGAAAUGGAUCCGAUAUACUGGUUAAAGUCUUCAUGUUCUUCUUGUUGUUGCUAUCUUGUUAUCUCUUUGUUUUCUUUUCCUCCCUGAGUGCAUGCUCAAGGCUCCAAAGUCUCAGUUGCUUUCCGUGAAGCUUCAAGCCAUGGCCUCCUUGUGGCUAGAAUCUGGGCUUUCAGUGACGAUGAGAACAGACCUUUUCAGUUUUCUCCAAGCUUUCACAGUCAGCAAGUACCCAAGGUUGCAUACUACCAGGCAUAUUCGUCGGCUAGACGUAGAGGCACCUCUGCUAGUGGCCAGCCCAUUGUGUUUAUGUUCGUGCACAUGUCUUCACUCUACAUGACCCCUAUCUCUAUUCUCAUGCAAGCGUGUCGUCAUCUCAUCCCCAUGUUUUCAUUCCCUUAUCCACCAUACCCAUCGUCCAUCUAUCCAUCCCUCUCUCUAGGUCGUCAUACCUAUUUCCUCACUCAAGCUUGUAGGAAUCAAGCAUCCUCCACCACACCCAUUUUCCUCUCAUUCAUUCUCCGGAUGUAUCACAUCCGAAAUUCUAUCCAACCAAUGUCCCACCUUCUUCGGAUGUCUCAUAUCCGGAAUCCUGUCCGGCCGACAUUCCACCUUCUCCGGAUGUCUCACAUCCGGAAUCCUGUCUGGCCGACACCACCUCCUCCGGAUGUCUCACAUCCAGAAUCCUGUCCGGCCGACAUUCCACCUCCUCCAGAUGUCUCACAUCCGAAAUCCUAUCUGGCCAACGUCCCAUCUUCUCCGGAUGUCUCACAUCCGGAAUCCUGUCCGGCCGACAUUCCACCUCCUCCGGAUGCCUCACAUCCGGAAUCUUGUCCGGCCGACAUUCCACCUCAUCCGGAUGUCUCACAUCCGAAAUCCUGUCCGCCGGCAUUCCACCUCCUCCGGAUGCCUCAUAUUCGGAAUUCUAUCUGCCGACGUUUCGCCUUCUCCGGAUAUCUCACAUCCGACGCCUGACGCCGAAUGAGAGAAGAAGGCAAUUCAACUUCCCCCGCCAGACAUGUCCGGAUCCUCGUUUUAUAACUUCUUUUUUUGUAAUCAUUUCAAAGCAUCCUAUCUUUCAUCCUUAGAAAUUUUAAGAUCACCCAGGGGUCCCAUUUCCAAUAAAAUUUUGUUGUCAUCUUUCUUUCUGGCAAGCAAUUUUCACACCUCCCCUGUUUUAAAAAUGUUUUGAAAUAAGCAUAGAUUCAAUCCCGUAAUUCCGAAUAAUGGAGUUUAUGGAAUUAAUUCAUGCAAAAAUAAACAGGCUAUGGUGAGGGCCCGACAUCAAAUAAAUUUCCUUUAAAAUAAAAAUGGAAUUGAAAUAAUAUCAUUGCAUGAUAUUGGUGUUUUUUUUUUCUCUUUAUCUGGUUGGGUGAUAUGAGUGAUACACUUUAUGUUCAUUACUAUGCACUAACCCCAUUUUGUGAUAGUGCGUUGCUGUUUGCUGAUCAGGUGCGCAUCUGCUUCCACUUUGGUUAUUCUCUAUGCAUAUUUUGAUACUCAUAUGUGCAUGAUUGAUUCGAGUAUUCAUUGUUUUCCUCAUCAUUGCCAUAAUUGCUUCACUUUAUUAGUAGAGACCCGACUUUAGGGGCUUAGAGGGGUGCUACGGUUUUUACCGUACCUUCCCGAUAAGUAACCUGACCCCCGAACCCGAUCCGGUUUUUCAUAGACCACCUUUUCCAAAAUAAGGAGUCACACUUAGGGUUUUCUUUCUUAUUUUGUUUGCCCUUUAAAAAUAAAACAAAAAUAAGUGGCGACUCCUAGUCAUUUUUCCUAAUCAAUAAAAUCAUUUUUUUCAAAUAAAAAGCGAGUUUCGCCAUCGAGUGGGAAACGCAUUGAGCCGAAAUGCAGGGUCCACAGUUGGGCUCCCACCAAAACCCGUUUUAUUUUUGUAUGAAUUAAUCCCAUGAAUUUCCAUUAUUCGAAAUUACGGGAAUAAAUUCAUACUUAUUUUAAAACAUUUACUAUGAGAUAACCAGUCAAGGAUCUGUGCUCACAGAACAAGAGGAAAACCAUUUGGUUUUUUCCCAAAUAGUUUGAAAACAAUCCGAUCGGUGCAGCUUUGAGCCUCUCCAUUGGAACUAGAAGGUGACUAGGCAGAUGCUGAAUAAGAAUUACCACUUGUCUGAGGUGGACUUGAUUGAUGAGAGUCUUGUUGUACCCAUGAGGGACAUUCAAGAGAACCAGUCCCCAGAUUCUCAGGGACAAGUGAUCUCUCCGGAUCUUCCAUGCCAUCAUCUGAAUCAAUAUAUAUGUCAUUCAAAAGGCAAAAUAGUAAAUAUAUAUAUAUAUAUAUAUAUUUCAUUUAGUUCACUUAUAAUGAACAAUUCAAAUAUAAUUGAUUUUAAUUUUAUUUCUUACAUGUUAAUUUUUGUAGGAAAAAUAUUAAUGACAUAGUUUGGUAAAAAAAAAUAUAUAUAUCAAUAAUCAUCUUAAUGUCAAGUUCAAGUUGUUUAAAAAUUGUACAAAAACUAUUAGGAGCUUUGUACACCUUUAUACACUUGACACAUUUUUCUUGUACAAUUAGUGUAAUACCCUUGUAUAAUAGCACAAAUUUCAUAUCCCUCUCAAGUUUUGUGUUCAUGUAAGUGUAUUAACCAUGUUUUUAAUAAUUUUGUUGAUAAAAUGGUGGAUGAUUUAGAGUCAAUUUUUUUUCCUCAAAUAUCAUUAUUAAGGAAAGUAUUAGAAUUUUUAUGUGAAAAUUAAAUAAAAUGCAUGACAUAGGUGUACAAUUCAUGGGUGAUAAGAAAAAUAAAUGAAUGAUUCAUAAUAAAUUGAAAUCUUUCACAAAAUGUAGUUUUGUACACCCUUGUACAUUUAAUACAUUUCAUUUGUACACUUAAUGUAAUACCCUUGUACAGUGGCACAAAUUUCAUAUCCCUCAUAAGUUAUGUAUCUACAUAGGUGUAUUUAACUAUAUUUACAAUGGUUUAGUUGAGAAAAUAGUGGAUGAUAUAUGGUCAAAUUAUUUUCCUCAAAUAUUAUUAUGGGGAAAAUAUUUGAAUUUUCAUGUGAAAAUUAAAUAAAAUGCAUGACAUAGGUGUACAAUUCGUGGGUGAUAAGAAAAAUAAAGGAAUGGUUCAGAACAAAUCGAAAUCUUUCACAAAAUGUAAUUUUGUACACUCUUAUACACUUAGUGCAUUUCCCUUCUACAAUCAGUGUAAUACCAUUGUACAGUGACAUAAUAAAUGAAUAAAUGAAAUUUAAUUCUUUUUAUUAUUUUCAUAUAAAAAAAUUGUAUUAUACAAGGUUUUCAAUUUUCAUUUUUAAAAAUAUUUUUCAUUUUUUAAUUAAACAUACUUUAAAAAAAAGACAAUAUAGAAAAUAAAAAUUAUUUUUAAAAAUAAAAAUAAAAAGUAAAAAAGUAAAAAUAGAAAAAUAUUUUCAAACCAAACUCAAACAUAAUCAAUAUAAUUUUUAACUACUUAUUUUCAUCUAAAAUAGGUAAAUAUACUUUUCAACUAUUUUAUAUAAGAAAAAUUCAAUCUCUAUCAUGUAUUGAUGUAAUCUACUUUUAAAAUUACGUCAUACAAAUACAUUUUUAUUGGGUAUUUAAAAUAAAAACUCUCAAUCCAUCCUUUUUUUUUCCUUAUUUUAAUAAAUUUUCAAUCAAUUCAAAUCAUUAAAAAAAAAUUCUUAGUAAACAAAUUUGCAAUAUUUUAUAUAAUUUAUUACUAAAAGUCAUGUUCAAAAAAUUAUUAAAAUAAGGAAGUAAGAAAAUUAAAAGAAAAAAUUAAAAAUUUUAUUUUAUAAUAAUAAUAAAAAAACUUUAAAAUACUUUUUAGUAUAAAAGAAAAGAAAAUAGUGAAUAUAUUUAUUUUAAAUAGUAUUUUAAUCAUUAAAUUAUUUACUUAUAAAAUGUAAAAGAUAAUCUUUAUUUAUUUAAAUUAACAUUUUUAGAGAAGGUAUUUUCCAAAAUAGUCAUUAAAUCAUUAAUAUAAUUUUUUUGCUUAUUUAUAAUUUAAAAAUAGAAAAUAAUGUUGAUUUUUCAAUUAUUUAUAAAAGAGUUUAAAAAAAUAAAAUAAAAUAAAUCCAAAAAUGGUUAAAUAAGAGAGAAUUUGAUGGUAAUGGCAUGUGAAGAAUGGUAAAAUAAAGACAAAGUGAGUCAAAAGGGUAUUUUUGUCUAUUACUAUCUCAUAUCCUCAUAAUCAAUUAUGGGUGAUUGAAUGAUUUUAUCUUAAUUAUCAAACCCAAUUGGGUUGAAAACACAAUUCUCCUAAUUCGAAAGCUUAUCAAUAUUAUAAAUCCUAGUUAUAUUGCAAAUCUUUUAGAUAAACCUCUUAAAGAAUUAGAAGGCCUAGUAUAUUGUGAUGUGUGAUUUGAUCAAAUCAAUAUUAUAAAUCCUAGUUAUAUCGCAAAUGUGUGAUUUGAUCGAAAUUCUGAUUUUACAGAUUCAGAAUGAGAAACUGUCAUCCUAUUCAAUCCAAUUGGGAUACCUUGACUCUGACAUGUCUCUUAAGAGGAGUAACAUGAAGCUCAUAAUUAUGGGUGUAUUCUAUACUACCAAAUAAAAGGGUAAUUGAUCUAUGGUCGAUUCCGUAACCAAUAAAUAGGAAUGUUUAGUUGGUGAGUCAUUCCCUCCCUUGUGUAACAUGUAGCCUGUGGUUCAAGUCACUUAGGUGUAAGCCUUUAUAGGUUUUUUAGGAAUCAGAUGGUUCAUCCGGCUUGGCGGUUCAACCGCCAAUUUAAAGGGUUGAGCAUGUUUGGCGGUCAAACCAUUACAAGCUUCAACAUAGUCUACCCCUGUAAGAAAACAGAGUAGAACAGAGUGUUUUGGAAAUCUGGAAAUCUGGUGUAUAUUCCGUGUAUGAACUUACAGGGAAGAAGAUGCAUAUAUACAAAGUAUUGGUUAGCCUAUUCUAGGAAUCUAAGAGCAAACAUAUCAGUUACAAUCAAUCAAAAUAAUCUUCUAUAUACAAUCAAAUAUCAUCCUCAAAUUACGAGAUCCUUGAUUCCUUUCCCAUAAUACUCCCCCUCAAGUUGGAGCGUGUAUGUCAAGAAUGCCAAACUUGUUGAGAAGGGAAUGAAAAAUUGAUGAAUUGAGUGGCUUAGUGAACAAAUCAGCAAGCUGGCAAGACGAUGGAAGAUGAGCAGUUACUAUGACACCUGAUUGAAUUCGUUCUCGAACAACAUGACAAUCGAUUUCUAUAUGCUUGGUACGUUCAUGGUAAACUGGAUUAGCAGCAAUAUGGAGUGCUGCUUUACUAUCACAGAAUAGUUUGGCAGGUUGCGAGUGUUCUACCUUCAAGUCAUCCAACAAAUACUUGAGCCAUGUAAGUUCACAUGUAAUGGAAGCCAUUGCUUGAUAUUCUGAUUCAGCUGAUGACCUUGACACUGUUGUCUGUUUCUUGGUUUUCCAUGAAAUGAGAGCUUCUCCAAGAAAAAUGCAAUAUCCAGUCACAGAUCGUCUUGUGAUCGAACAUCGAGCCCAAUCUGCAUCACAAAAUCCUCUUAGUAGCAAAUUUCCUUUUGCAGGAAAAUAUAAUCCUUGUCCAAGUGCACCUUUAAGAUAUCGUAGAAGAUGAUGAACAGCAUGCAAAUGAGGCUUUCUUGGUUCUUGCAUAAACUGGCUUAAAAUGUGAAUUGAAUAACUUAUCUCUGGCCUUGUAAUGGUAAGAUAAAUGAGUUGUCCGACCAAUCUUCUGUAGAUGGAUGGAUUCUUCAAUAAAUCUCCUACUGUGGGCAGGAGUUUAUUAUUUUCUUCCAUAGGUGUCAACAAUGGUUUGGCCCCAAGCAAGCCUGCUUCAUCUAAAAUAUCAAGAGUGUAUUUUCGUUGGGAUAUUGAAAUACCAUCAGUAGAACGAGCAACUUCAAUACCAAGGAAAUAUCGUAAUUGACCGAGGUCCUUGAUGCGAAAUUUGGUGUGGAGAGACUCCUUAAGAGUUGCAAUUACAUUCUCAUCAUUGCCGGCGAUGAUCAUGUCAUCUACAUAGAUGAGCACAACUGUGAAAGAAUUACCAGAGAUCUUUGUGAAAAGUGAAUAAUCAGCCCUUGAUUGAUAGAAACCAUCUUGUUGAAUGGUGGCAGAAAAUUUCUGAAACCAGCUACGGGAGGCUUGUUUAAGUCCAUAUAAUGACUUGUUGAAUCGACAUACCAUAGGUGUCUCCCCCUGUCGACAAAAACCGGGCGGCAAUUGCAUAUAGACUUCUUCAAGCAAAUCACCAUGGAGAAAGGCAUGAACAUCCAUUUGGUGAAGUGACCAAUGUCGGACAGCAGCUAUAGCAAGUAAACAUCGAACUGUAGUUAACUUAGCCACAGGAGAAAAGGUCUCCUUAUAGUCAAUCCCUUCGCGUUGAGUGAAGCCUUUCGCCACCAACCGAGCUUUGUAUCGCUCAACUGUGCCAUCAGAGUUAUAUUUGAUCUUAUACACCCAUUUGCACCCAAUUGGACGAUGACCAGAAGGGAGAGGCGUGAGUGUCCAAGUGUGAUUUUGUUCAAGAGCAUGGAGUUCUGCAGCCAUAGCUUCCCGCCAUUUUGGAUCCAAUACUGCCUGUUCAUAAGUUAUAGGUUCCACAAGAGUGGUGAUGGCACAAACAAAAUUCCGAUAUUUUUGUGAGAGUUGUGCAUAGGAAAUAUACCGAGUCAAAGGGUGACGCGUACCUGACAAGGAAGAAGAUUGGCUGGAAGUAACCUUGGUGGUAUGGUAGAGAUGAAAAUUCCGAAGUUGGACAUUUGGUUGCUUGAUGCGGUCAGAACGACGAGUAGCAGGAGGUGGAGGUGACACAAUGGUGUCAAGAUCAAGUGUACAUUCAUUAGAGGUAGACUCAAGAGAUGAAAGCAAGGGUGGUGGCUAAUCAUCGGCUUGUGGUUUGGUUGUCUCUGUGGUUAUGGGUUCAUAUGAGGUUUGUGGUAAAGGAAGAACGACCACAUCAUGUUGUUCUUCUUGUGGAUUAGUGUGGAACGGAAAUAUAUGUUCAUGAAAGACAACAUCUCGGGAAUAAAAGAAUUUAUGAGUUUCAAGAUCAUAAACCCGAUAACCCUUUUGACCAAGAGGAUAACCAACAAAUAUGCAACGACGAGCUCUUUGAUCAAAUUUAUGUGUGGGUAAGAGAUUGGUGGCAUAACAAAGACAUCCAAAAGUUCGUAGAUGAUGAUAUGAAGGUAGCUUGUUAUAGAGAAGUUGGUAUGGCGAUUUGUCAGAAAGAAUGGGUGUAGGUAAGCGAUUGAUUAAAUAGCAAGCCGUUUGAAUACUUUCCCCCCAAAAUUUUAACGGCAAGUUUGCUUGAAAACGAAGAGCUCUUCCCACAUUUAAAAGAUGACGAUGUUUCCUCUCAACCACCCCAUUUUGUUGGGGGGUGUAAGCACAUGAAUGAUGGUAAUUGAUCCCCUUAGUAUCCAAAUACUGUUUCAUAGAGGAAAUUUCAGUCCCAUUAUCGGUUCGAAGGGUUUUAAUGCAACGAUUAAAUUGAGUUUCCACCCAAGAAAUGAAUGAUUGCAAUAUCCCUUGUGUUUCAGAUUUAAAACUCAUGAGAUGUAUCCAAGUAUAUCGAGUAUGAUCAUCAACAAUUGUUAGGAAAUAACGAGCCCCAGAGUGAGAAUUUAUUCGAUGUGGUCCCCAAAUAUCACAAUGUAUCAAAUCAAAAGGUGCGUGAGAAGAAAUGAAACUAGAUGGAAAGGACAAACGAGUUUGUUUGGCUAAAGGGAAAAUAUCACAAACAUGCUUGGAAUCAAAAUAAAUUUCAGAAUUAACUUUAGCAAGAACUUGAAGAGGACCGGAUGAUGGGUGCCCAAGACGUUGAUGCCAAAGAUCAGAAUGUUUGUGAAUGGCGUAAGCCAAGGCUGGAUUUUGGUCUUGUGCGAGGUAGUAGAGGCCAUUAUGUUGCUUGCCCAGGCCCAUCGUCUUCCUCGUAGUAGCGUCCUGCACAACACAAAAAUCGGAAGAGAACAUCACUAUACAUUGUAAUGCCCGCGUUAGUUUACUAACUGAUAGUAAAUUAACUUGAAAUUGUGGAACUUUGAGUACGUCAUCAAGUUUAAUGUGGGGGGUAACAUGCAAUGAACCAAUUGACUCAAUAUGUGCUUGACCACCAUCUGGCAAACUAAUGGUAGUGGUUUUGGGCAAAAUUUUCGGAUCUAAUAAUUCAGCUGAGGAAGUCACAUGAUCCGUGGCUCCACUAUCAAUAAUCCAACACAUAUUUGAGUGUGGGCAAUUCGGAAUAAUUUUGGAUGAUGGCUUAUUUAUACCUGUGGCAUUUGCAAAGUGUUGUGAAUUACCACCAUUGUUUUUCUGAAUCAUAGCCAUUAAUUGGUUGUAUUCCUCAGUUGUGAGCCUUGGUCCAUCAUUUGUUGGAAGAAGUUUUGCUUCUGUCUCCACAGCCUUAUUUGUUUCCACUUUCACAUUAUUUGCAUUUGAGUGACGUUGAUUGGGAGGCUUCACGUUCUUCCCAUGGAGCUUGUGGCCAAUCGGAAAGCCAUGUAGGUAGUAACACUUCUCAAUGCUGUGACAAUCACGGUCACAAUAGGAGCAGUGCAGUGGAGUCUUUUGCUUUUGAACCUAGUGUGCUGAAGUCGCCUUAUUGUCCCGAUCUGCAAGCAUGGCAUAAUGGUUCUUGUUCCCAUUAUUGAGAGAAACUUCAACCUGUUUUUCUUGUUGAAGGACAAGUGAGUAAACUCAGCGUGUAUCGGGUAGAGGUUGCAUCAAUAAGAUUUGUCCACGAAUGGCAGCAUAACUAUCAUUCAAUCCCAUGAGAAAUUGCAUAACUCUCUCUUUUUCAUCCCUUUCCUUAAGUUUCUCUAAUCCUCCACAAGAACAGGAUAACACUUCAUGAUAGGAUGAAAGUUCAUCCUAAAAAGCUUUAAGCUUUGUGUAAUAAACUGAAAUUGAUUGCUGCCCCUACCUAUGCUCCACAAUGUCUCGCUUGAUCUGAUAAAUUCUUGAAUCGUUUCCUUGCGAAAAACAUUCUCGCAGAUCUGCCCAGAUUUCUGAUGCUGUUUCGGCAUAAAUCACACUGCUGGCUAUGUCUGGAUGAAUGGAAUUCAAUAGCCAUGAGAUCACCAUAUCAUUGCAACGUUGCCAAGAAGGAAAACUAUCAUCAGUCGAAGAGGGUGGCUUAAUGGAACCUGUGACAAAUCCAGUUUUGUCUUUAGCACUCAAACUAAUCCUCAUAGCCCGACUCCAUGUGCUGUAGUUAUCUCCUUCAAGUACUUUGGAGACAAGUACCAUACCCGGGUGGUCCGAGUGGUGUAGAGAGAAGGGAUCUAAAGCUUCUGUGGUAGCCUUAGAUGAUGUCAAUCUCGUUUUGUUGAUGUCCAUGGCAGCAGCUGUAACGAGGAAAUAAGUUGCGGAAACGCUUGGAAGAAUUCAGAGUCACCAGGUUUGAUGCUCUGAUACCAUGUAAGAAAACAGAGUAGAAUAGAGUGUUUUGGAAAUCUGGAAAUCUGGUGUAUAUUCCGUGUAUGAACUUACAGGGAAGAAGAUGCAUAUAUACAAAGUAUUGGUUAGCCUAUUCUAGGAAUCUAAGAGCAAACAUAUCAGUUACAAUCAAUCAAAAUAAUCUUCUAUAUACAAUCAAAUAUCAUCCUCAAAUUACGGGAUCCUUGAUUCCUUUCCCAUAAUAACCCCAAAUUCUAAAAUGGCAAAAGAGCACAAGUAUAAAAUGAACUAAUUAUAUCUUUAAAGAUAUAAUUACCCUUUUUUUUUUUCAUCCUUCUUUCGCCUAUUUAUUAGUGGUACCAACUUAAAUAAUUUCUUAAUCAUUUUUCUCCACUCCAUCAAAUUGAAUAUAAAAGAUAAAUGGUUAAAAUUUAUUAUUACUAAAUGUAUUUUUGAAAUACAUAACUUUUAAAUAUCUCAUCAAAUAUUAAUUUUUUUUCAAACUUACAUAAUAUAUAAUAAUUUUUUUUAAAUACCUUUGAAACUUACAUAAUAUAUAAUAAAUAUUAUUAUUUAUUUCAAACUUAUAGUAUUUUUCGUACAUAUUAAACAAAUUUUAAACAUCUCAUAAAAUAUUAGUAUUUUUUGUUUGUUCUAACUUACAAAUUAGACAUCAUCAAAUAUUAUUAUUUUUUUCAAAUCUAUAGAAUAUAUAAUAAAUACUUUUUAAAUACCUCAACAACUAUUUUUUUUUGUUUCUUAUUUACAAAAUAAUAAAUAUGUUUUACAUUAUUUCUUAUAUAUAUUAAAUAAUUUUUAAAUACCUUAUAAAAUAUUAUUUUUUUCUAACUUGCAAAUUAGAUACAGAGUGUUUAUUAUUUAUUAUAUUAUUUCGAAAAUAAUGUAAACACUCACAUGCUAUAUAUAUAUAUAUAUAUAAUAUUAAUCAAGAAAACAUACUAAUUUACCAACCUUCCAAUAAUUUUGAAAGUGUAAAUAGGGUAAUUAACAAAAUUAAAGUUUUCAAGAUAUUCAAAAUUUCUCUAAUCCUAAAUAUUUUUAAAUAAAGCUUUAAAUAUUUAAAAUUAUUAAAAUAAAUAUUUUCUUAUUAAAUCAAUAUUUAAAAUUAAUAAGAUAAAAAUCAUGAAAUCUUCAAAACUAUAAUUACAACAAAUAUUUAUAAUUUAAAUUAAUGAUUUUAAAAAAAAUGUUACAAAAAUAAUUAUUGUUUAUCUUUAAUUCUAUUUAAAUAUGAUUUUUUAAUAUCUAUUUAUAACAAUAAAAUUAUUUUUAUAAAAGCAAAAUAGUAAAAUAUAUAUAUAUAUUUCAUUUAGUUUACUUAUAAUGAACAAUUCUAAUUGAUUUUAAUUUUAUUUCCUAUAUGUUAAUUUUUGUUGGGAAAUUUUAAUGUCAUAGUUUGGUAAUAAAUAAAUAAAUAAAUAAAUAAAUAAAAUGUCAAUAAUCAUCUUAAUGUCAACUUCAAGUUAUUUAAAAAUCGUACAAAACUUAUUAAAAGUCUUGUACAAUUUUUUUUAAUAAUAUUGCUUAUUUAAAAAUUUUUGAUAUCUCAAAUUAAAGGAUGAAGAUAAAUAUAAAUUUAUUAAUGUUUAAAAUUUUAUUAGAUAAAACAUAUAUACAAAUUAAGUAUCAAGAUAUAUUUUAAAUGAUAGAAAAAUUAUAAUAUUUAAUUUUAUCAUAUAUCUCUUUAUUUUAAAAUUUUAAAAAUUAUUAUAUUAAAUAAUUUAUAUUAUUUUUAUACUUAUCAUUAUAUAAUAAAAAUAACAUGAAGAAUUUAUUUUUAUUAUAUUUAUUUAAUGGUUUUAUAUGGUGGAAAUGGAAAAAAAAAAAAUCGAAGUUUAUAUUAUUAUUUAAUUAAUUGUACUACAAGAAAUAUCAAAGUGAUCGAGUGGCAAGUGAGCCAUCCCCUACCUCGUGUAACAUGUAGCCUGUGGUUCAAGUCACCUAGGUGCAAGCCUUGACAGGUUUUUUAGGAAUUGGAUGGUUCAUCCGGCUUGGUGGUUCAACCGCCAGUUUAAGGGGUUGAGCAUCGGUUCAUUCGCUCAGACCGGAAAGUGCAUCGGUUGGCAAUCAAACCAUUACAAGCUUCAACAUAGUCCACCCCAAAUUCUAAAAUGGUAAAAGAACGUAAGUAUAAAAUGAACUUAUAUCUUUAAAGAUUUGCAUCUUCUUCACUUAUUAUAACUAGCUGAAGAAAUACAUUUCCCCUGAGAAACCAUUACUUAGAGUGGAAGGAGAUGCAAGGAUAGUAGCUAACUAAUAUUCAUAUUAGGAACUUCCGAGGUUUAUAUGGCCGUUCUCAAUCAUCCACUUGAGGCUCCAGUGGUUCUGAGCACAUCUGUAAGCCCAAUACGCCCAUCCAAAAGUGGCACGCCUGUACACAUCUAUUUGAGCUUUUGCAAAUCUCUGGUAGUCUUUCUUUGAUGCUCCACUUUUUGCCCAUUCUGCGGUCCAUUCCCCUACAAAAUUCACCACCAUCAUAUAGAUCUGUAUGGCAAAUAAUUCUAAAUCCAUGAUUGUGUUAUAAGCAAUAAAUAUGUGAUUCAUACUUACCUACAAAACUGAGAGGGCCAUUGGAAGUGGUAACAGCACUGAGGUCUGAAGCUCUCUGGCUAUAGAUGAAAUCAAUAUUCUGUUGUACGUUCAUGUUGUUAAACAUAUCUGAGAAGAGGCUGUAGUAAUGCACAUCGAUCACUACACGAUUAAGGCCCCUGGCGAAGUCCAGGAGCUCCUUGGAGUCAGCAGGCCCCAGUCGGUUCGAUAGGAUCACAUAAGCAUUUGAUGUGUACUUCCUCACGGCAUCGUAACCAGCUUUGUAAUACUUCUUAAGAUCAUUGAGUGUAACUCCUGGAGCCAGAGGCUCAUUCAUCAACUCAAUGGAUGCUAGACUCGGGUUGUUGGCAUAUCUGCCCAAAAAUCAAGUCUGAACCAUUUAAGGCAAUGGCCAAAAAAAUAAAAAAAAUGUUAAGAUAAACUUUAUUUUAGCUUCUGAAACCUUGCUGCUAGGAAGUCUAUGACUGCAACAGUAUCUUGAAUAUUGGAGUCUCCCCAUUCCUGAAACCCAUCUCUGGUCCCACUAUGAUCGUUGCCAUUUUGUGAACCUUGAACUGCAUGCAGAUCAACUAUAAUCUUCAUGCCGUUGUUCCUGCAAAAUUAGUGAUUACCCAGAAAUAUUAUGAACAUAUUGAAUGGUGGCUAAGAGGAUGGUUGGAGAUGGAGUUGUAUGGCUGUUUUUCUUUCACUUACUGUGCCCAUGUGAAAGCAUUGUCCAAGGCCUUUAAGGAGCCCCCCACAAAAGGCUUUGGUGGUGUUGGGUCGCUCGCUAUCCACCACCCAACUGGAAUCCUAACCGCAUUCAGACCAUUUGAUGACAAGAAUCUGAAAUCCUCAUUAGUGAUGUAUGCAUUCCAGUGAUCCUGAUAUUAAGAGGUUUAUGCUUUUAUUAUGAUCAAAUGCUUUACUGAUGAUUGUGAUAAAAAGUAUUCAUCAGUUAAAUGUUCUUGCUAGGCUUGUUGGAGAAAUCAUAUUUGAAUCCUUACCUGCAUGACUUGAGGGGCUCUGUCUGGACCAUAGCCAUUAGUGAUUUGGUAUUCUCCUUGUAAGGUCCGGACUAUCUUCAUUUGGAAGACGGAUGGAUUAUUGUCAUCCCAACCUGAGCCUCCAUAGUCUGCAGUCACCAGCCCCGGUUUUGCCUGAUUAUUGAAUAAAAGCCCAGUAAUCAUGAGAUCCACAAGCAUUUAUUCCUAGAACUGGUAAAUAAUUCAAUUGACAACUGAAACUAACUUGCUAUUGUUGAAUACCUGCAAAUUAGCUAGCUAUUACUAUAGCCCCGGAGAUAGGAGAGGAGGUGGAUCCUAGUUUAGAACUGAGACCUAAUGUGAACUGGGAGAUUGAAACCAAGCCUAAGGUUGAUUGGCUAGCAACUAAUUUCGGUUAAACUUCGACUUUUAGUUUGAAUUGAUCAUGAAUUAAAUUUUAUUUCACUCAGAGACACCUGUAAGAACAUGUACCUCCAUUAUUGAUAUCACCAGUCACUAUACGAUUGUACAUGGAACAUGCGUGUGCCAGAGGCAUGUAGCUGAGGAAGACAAUCCAAAUUCUUGUUCAGGCAAGGGGAAGAUGGUAAAUGCAAUAACCCUCCAUUUUUCUUAUCCUAAAUGGACUAAGGAUGAUAUUUAUAUUAAGUAGGUCCCAGAAAUGGUUGGUUAAAAACUGUGCUCCCAUGUUUGUAUUGCUACUAUCAGCUAGAUCAGUCCCUUUUUCAUCCCUGAAUGGAGCCGAGGAUACAGUAAAAAAGGCAGAUGCUGGGACCAGAUCAUAGAUCUUUAUAUUAUUAGUCUAACCCUCAGCUUAUCAGGUUUUCACAUGUAUGGGCUUGUUCUCUAGUGUUCUACACAAUACUACCAUUUUUUAUGGGGUGUUUAAGAGCCCAAAAGAGUGAGGAAAUGCCUUGUGCCCUGAAAUAUACAGUUUUAGGAUGGAUAGGACACCUGGAGGAAGAGGCCAUUUGAUGCUUUUAUGCGAACUCGAUUUUGAUCGUCGUUCUUCCUUACUAUCUGAAAUGUUUCUGAGUUCCCAGGGGAAUUUAGAACCGAUACCACUUUGUUUCCUUUGCCUUGAUUUUCUAGUCCAAAGAACUGUUUGUUAAACACUCUGAGAUUGAAAGUUGACUUAUUGAUCCUCCACAACUGCAUCAUAUAGUUGAAAAGCAAGGAUUGUUAACAAUGAGGAAGAAUUGAAAGAUGGUUAUAUAUGGUUAAAAGAACCCAACCCUGAAAGUCUCCCAGCCAGAGGGCGAGGUGCGGUUGGCAACAACAUCUGUCCCACCCCCAUUUUCAGCGGCGAGAUACUUCUGCAGCUUCGUAGACAUGAACUGCACUUGAGUUCCAUCCUACCAAGGAUCACAAUAAAGAGCCAUAUGUUAUUGAUGAAAUGCAAAAUUAAGCAGUAAGAAGCCCCUUUUCCUUGGUUAGUGCCGCAUUUAUCAACACAAAAAGGGGAGAUAAAACAAAAUUAGUGGCCAUAGGUGUUUAAUGAUGCAUGGCUGGUCUUAGGAAAAUGAAGAAACUGUACCAAAAGAUCUUGAUUGGGUAUCCCAGCAAAGAGUUCAGGUUUCAUCCAUCCCUCUGUAACAAGCCAAUUUCCUAGAUUCACAGCUUUAACUGGCAAAUAAGGAUCUGCACCCUGUGCAAACAAAAGAGUGGGGACCCAUGAUGAAAAGAGAUAGAAAGCCCACACACAUUUCACGUACAAGCAAGAACUCAUUUGUCACUCUCUUCCUGGAAACUGAGGAGAGUUCGAGUCGAAUACAUACAGAAGGCAAGGGCUACAAAUGGUGUAGGAUGAUAAUGAUUAGUAAAUAUUGUUCACACAAUAUUAAUUAAGGCAUUUGGGAAAUAAUGACUGGAUUGUAUUUUAGGGUUUGUAUCACUCGCUCUUCCACUGGGAAAUCUCAUUUUUCUAGAAGGCAUGCAUCACAAAUUUUGGCCACAAAUAGAAGUUGGACACGGAAUUAGUGCAAAAAUGAAGAUAACUGAGAAUCCCAAUAUGCAUUUAAUGGGAAAUUAGUAGCCGAGAUUAUGAUUUCCAAGGAUUUAUUCAACUGGAUCAGCAAAAUUCUACACGUCCCACCCAGUUUGGGAAUUCUGGGUCUAAGAUUCCACACUAUAAUGAUUUGAGUUUUGAAGAUGGGAGUCAGCGUUAGAAUUGGGUGGCGAAAUAACCUAAGUUGAAUGAGUGGAAGAGCAGGCGGUGAAGACAUUUAGUGAUCAUAAACCUCAAUUUGUAUCCUUCGAUAUAAGAUUGGAGACACAGGGAGGGAGGCACACAAAAUGGACAUAUGUAUGGUUUGUAGAGAAAGAAUUUGCUGUGGGUUGAGGUUUAAUGAUGGCUGUUUCCUACCAACCUAAAGUAAGAUUUGACAGGGGCUAUGAUAGCUCCAUAUAGGCUGUAUUGGGCUCUUGCCACUCCCUCCACUCAGGUUCUAUGCACACUAAAGACAUGAGCACUCAACAGACACAUUAUUGGGGAAUCCAAAAAGGGACUCACACCACCCCCCAAUCAUAGCUUUUCUGUUACCUCUCUGCUGUUCUUAUGAAUCAAGUCCAUCAAAACACUAUUCACCUUUGCAUUGCACUAUCUCAUGGAAAACCUGGACUUCAUGCAACAGACUUAACAUGAGAUGGUGCUAUGUGACUCAUCUAAUCAAACUCCAGGAUUGAGUUUCAAAGCAACUCUUCAAGUGGUGAAAGUUUAGUCAUAUCAUUUACUCCGCAAGAAAUCCACACAUGACAACCAUAUCCUAGUAACCCCAAAAUUUAGAAGACUACAGAGGUGCAUUAUCAAAGUAGGAAAAGCAAAAUGAAGGAAGAAACAACAUGGAGGUUCUUAUAAUUUUAGCCGGGGAAAAAGGGGAACAUGGUUAGAAAAGUACCCGACUGAGCAGGGGCUUCAUUUGCUCCCUGUAGCCAUCAAGAACUCGC
rnacentral:lncRNA from 1 species